CCUCUACGCGUACGGGUGUUGGGAGACAUAGCCCGGAGAUGGAUUCUGAGACACGAAUCCAGACCCUACGGGGUGCAGCAGGCGCGAAAACUUGGCAAUGCGAGAAAUCGUGACCAGGGAACUCCAAGUGCAUCGGGUAAGACCGGUGCUUUUCUUGACUCUAAAUAGGUCUUGGAAUAAGGGGUGGGUAAGGACGGUGCCAGCCGCCGCGGUAAUACCGGCGCCUCAAGUGGUAGUCGCUUUUAUUGGGCCUAAAACGUCCGUAGCCGGUCUGAUACAUUCGUGGGUAAAUCAACCAGCUCAACUGGUUGAAUUCUGCGAGGACGGUCAGACUUGGGACCGGGAGAGGUGUGGGGUACGCUCAGGGUAGGGGUAAAAUCCUGUCAUCCUGAGCGGACCACCUGUUGCGAAGGCGCCACACUAGAACGG
rnacentral:rRNA from 1 species